rnacentral:rRNA from 1 species
UGAGUUUGAUCCUGGUUCAGAACGAACGCUGGCGGCGUGCUUAACACAUGCAAGUCGAACGCGAAAGGGACUUCGGUCCCGAGUAGAGUGGCGCACGGGUGAGUAACGCGUAAGUAAUCUACCCCUGUAUCUGGAAUAACCCACCGAAAGGUGAGCUAAUACCGGAUACGUUUAUCUUGAUGCGAAUGAUGAUAAAGAAAGGUGGCCUCUUCAUGAAAGCUACCGUACAGGGACGAGCUUGCGUACCAUUAGCUGGUUGGUAGGGUAAUGGCCUACCAAGGCGACGAUGGUUAGCGGGUCUGAGAGGAUGAUCCGCCACACUGGAACUGAAACACGGACCAGACUCCUACGGGAGGCAGCAGUGAGGAAUAUUGCGCAAUGGGGGCAACCCUGACGCAGCGACGCCGCGUGGACGAUGAAGGCCCUUGGGUCGUAAAAUCUUGUCAGAUGGAAAGAAAUGUACAGGUGUUAAUAUCGCCUGUAUUUGACGGUACCAUCAAAGGAAGCACCGGCUAACUCCGUGCCAGCAGCCGCGGUAAUACGGAGGGUGCGAGCGUUGUUCGGAAUUACUG